UGGGGAAUAUUGCACAAUGGGGGGAAAACCCUGAUGCAGCGACGCCGCGUGAGCGAUGAAGUAUUUCGGUAUGUAAAGCUCUAUCAGCAGGGAAGAAAAUGACGGUACCUGACUAAGAAGCCCCGGCUAACUACGUGCC
rnacentral:rRNA from 1 species